UGCAAGUCGAACGCUUUGUGGUUCAACUUGAUUUGAAGAAGCUUGCUCAGAUAUGACGAUGGACAUUGCAAAGAGUGGCGAACGGGUGAGUAACACGUGGGAAACCUACCUCUUAGCAGGGGAUAACAUUUGGAAACAGAUGCUAAUACCGUAUAACAAUGACAACCGCAUGGUUGUUAUUUAAAAGAUGGUUCUGCUAUCACUAAGAGAUGGUCCCGCGGUGCAUUAGCUAGUUGGUAAGGUAAUGGCUUACCAAGGCGAUGAUGCAUAGCCGAGUUGAGAGACUGAUCGGCCACAAUGGGACUGAGACACGGCCCAUACUCCUACGGGAGGCAGCAGUAGGGAAUCUUCCACAAUGGGCGAAAGCCUGAUGGAGCAACGCCGCGUGUGUGAUGAAGGGUUUCGGCUCGUAAAACACUGUUGUAAGAGAAGAAUGACAUUGAGAGUAACUGUUCAAUGUGUGACGGUAUCUUACCAGAAAGGAACGGCUAAAUACGUGCCAGCAGCCGCGGUAAUACGUAUGUUCCAAGCGUUAUCCGGAUUUAUUGGGCGUAAAGCGAGCGCAGACGGUUAUUUAAGUCUGAAGUGAAAGCCCUCAGCUCAACUGAGGAAUUGCUUUGGAAACUGGAUGACUUGAGUGCAGUAGAGGAAAGUGGAACUCCAUGUGUAGCGGUGAAAUGCGUAGAUAUAUGGAAGAACACCAGUGGCGAAGGCGGCUUUCUGGACUGUAACUGACGUUGAGGCUCGAAAGUGUGGGUAGCAAACAGGAUUAGAUACCCUGGUAGUCCACACCGUAAACGAUGAGUGCUAGGUGUUUGAGGGUUUCCGCCCUUAAGUGCCGCAGCUAACGCAUUAAGCACUCCGCCUGGGGAGUACGACCGCAAGGUUGAAACUCAAAGGAAUUGACGGGGACCCGCACAAGCGGUGGAGCAUGUGGUUUAAUUCGAAGCAACGCGAAGAACCUUACCAGGUCUUGACAUCCCUUGACAACUCCAGAGAUGGAGCGUUCCCUUCGGGGACAAGGUGACAGGUGGUGCAUGGUUGUCGUCAGCUCGUGUCGUGAGAUGUUGGGUUAAGUCCCGCAACGAGCGCAACCCUUAUUACUAGUUGCCAGCAUUCAGUUGGGCACUCUAGUGAGACUGCCGGUGACAAACCGGAGGAAGGUGGGGAUGACGUCAAAUCAUCAUGCCCCUUAUGACCUGGGCUACACACGUGCUACAAUGGCGUAUACAACGAGUUGCCAACCCGCGAGGGUGAGCUAAUCUCUUAAAGUACGUCUCAGUUCGGAUUGUAGGCUGCAACUCGCCUACAUGAAGUCGGAAUCGCUAGUAAUCGCGGAUCAGCACGCCGCGGUGAAUACGUUCCCGGGUCUUGUACACACCGCCCGUCACACCAUGAGAGUUUGUAACACCCAAAGCCGGUGGGGUAACCUUCGGGAGCCAGCCGUCU
rnacentral:rRNA from 1 species